AUACUUACCUGGCAGGGGCGAUACCAUGAUCACGAAGGUGGUUCACCCAGGGCGAGGCUCUGCCAUUGCACUUGGGUGGUGCUGACCCUUGCGAAUUCCCCAAAUGCGGGAAUCUCGACUGCAUAAUUUCUGGUAGUGGGGGACUGCGUUCGCACUCUUCCCUG
ensembl:snRNA U1 U1 spliceosomal RNA